rnacentral:lncRNA from 1 species
CAGGAGUGUUGCCCGGGCCGCAGUGAAGGAGGCGGAGUCUGAAUAUCCUGGUGGAGAUUUUGGUUCCCCAACCUGGGGGUCUUAAAGAGACCGACUCUUGGGAUUCUUAGGAGAGGACCGGGCUCCGAGUGAGGGGUCCGUGUAUCCCGGGCGAGUCACUCUUCGAGGGGAUCACUUGAGUGAGCCGUGGUAAAGCAGUCUCCGCAGACUACACUCUAAAGAUGCUGACCGGAUGGGUGGUAUAGGAUGAAAAAGCAUUCAGAAUACAAGAAACUAAGAAGUAAUGAAACUAAAGCUGACUUAAAGGGCCAGUCGAUCUCAUUUGAGGCACACAAACCAAAAUUUCGUCCUGAAUUGAUACCUUCCUUGCUGUAUGACUCACCAUGGAGUUGUCAUGGGGGAAAG